rnacentral:misc_RNA from 1 species
AUGCCGUGUGUAAUUCAAAAUAAUCAAACGAAAAAUUAUGGGUGAACAACACGAGUUUCGUACGACAUCGCUGUUUCACCAAUUUAAGCGAGGAAUAUAUCUUCUUGAAUAGAAGUAGCGUUAAAUGCCAAGCGUACGUCGUCAACGUACGUCGGUUAGAUUAAAAUGUCUGCCGUAUUUACUAUCCGUGAGGCAGAUUUUGAUGAUCUUGAUGAUGAGGAAUUUUUGAAUGAAGCAUUAAAUUUCGAAUCUGAACAGCUCACAAAAGGCGUUCCCUGCCAAAAUAUCUCUGACUACAAUGGACCUGGUAAAAUGAACGAGUGUCACAGCAAGCAAAAUAUUUUACGCAGCAAAGGCUCCUCAGUCAACUCGUUCCCUAAUUCUGGCAAAUCUAGUUCGAGUCUGCGAUCAUCUUCAAGUAUUUUUUACACGUCCAGCAACCAACCUGGAUGCUCAAAGCGCACACCUGGUGAUUUUGAUGAUCAGCUGUCAGCGGAACCUCCCAUGAAGAGGCUAAACUGUGUGGAAGAGAAACAGAGUUGCACUUUGGGAAAGGAUCAGUCUUUAUUAUCUCUGACUGCAGCAAUCACGACGAGGAAAGCAAGUGAAUACAUGACUGGUGUUUCGGCAGAACCGAAAGUGUCAGUGAAUGUCAAGGAUAGCCGGAAUUUCAAUUUCAAUCCUGUUAUUAGUUUCAGUACUACUAGUAAUAUAUCGGAUGGUCUGAGGUACGUGCAGAAUACUACUUCGGCAGUUUCGUCACCAAGAUUGACAGACGGUAGACCGGAGAACUUAAUUGGAGCACAAUCAGCACAAACUUCAAAUAUACGAAGCAAAUACAACGAUAAAGACUCGUCUAGAGGCGUUUUACGGGAAACAUUGUCUCAGACUUCAGUUUCUAAACAGACUUUAGAAUGUAACAGAUUUAGCAAGGAUUGUUUAAGGCGGUCGUGCCUAUCUGAAAUCCUGAGUGAUACGCAUACCAACUCCACUCUUCCAGUUACGCCAACAACACAUUUUACUUUAAAGAACUCAUCACGAGGUACAAAAACACCUUCGGUUGAUAUACACACACCGAAACGAAAAGGUUUUGCCAGAGAAUCACCAGUUCUGACUUAUUUAAGAACGUUUACAGACGAGAAACGAUGCUCUACUCCGAGAAGAUUUCCUGGUCCAGCUGGAAUACUACCCCCGAAAAUGGAUCCAGAUCAAACCUUGGACAGUAUUCGAAGUCUGUCGUCAACUGAAUCUCCCACGAAGAUAACACCUCGGCUUUUUGAACUGGGUUCAUGUGAUGAAGUAGAUGACUUUGCAAUAAAACCGUGGACUUUGAUGCAAGAGAAAGUUGCAAAAGAUUUUCCGGAUGCGUGCGAUACACUUGCGUCUGUAGUAAGGAAGGCUGGAUCACAGGAACUUCAUAGGGGGAAAGUGGCAUUUUUAGCUGUGUUAGUUAAAUCGUUCAACCCAAAUGGUUUGGAUUUUAGUAUUGUAUUAAAAGAUCCUUCAGGUGAAAUGCACGGAGUGGUGCAUAAGAAGGUUAUCGAGAAAGUUGAACUUGGACCUGGAUGCGGUUUCAUACUCAAGCAGUCCAUCACCACGAAAACAUUAUUUAAACAUCACCCCAAGAAAUAUUGUCGAGGUUUUUCCAGCUGUCGCAGAUCCAUCCAGCAAGGAGUCGGGUUCAGAUGUUACAACGUUGCGUGAAUCAAAACAGUGUGACACACAGCCGAUGUGUCUGGAUUCAGGCAAAGAAAUACAUCAAGCCGAGACAGUUGAAGAAUCAAAUUUUGAUGAACUCCUCGAAGGAUUAGAC